UACGUAGGGCGCAAGCGUUGUCCGGAAUUAUUGGGCGUAAAGAGCUCGUAGGCGGUUUGUCGCGUCGGAUGUGAAAGCCCGGGGCUUAACCCCGGGUCUGCAUUCGAUACGGGCAGACUGGAGUGUGGUAGGGGAGAUCGGAAUUCCUGGUGUAGCGGUGAAAUGCGCAGAUAUCAGGAGGAACACCGGUGGCGAAGGCGGAUCUCUGGGCCGAUACUGACGCUGAGGAGCGAAAGCGUGGGGAGCAAACAGG
rnacentral:rRNA from 1 species